GCCCGCUUGGCUUAGUGGUACAGCGGUUUGUCAUCACUCACUUUGAUGGCGUGAAGGUGUUAUUAAUCAAUUUCUAGUGUCACUCGUAAACGAUGCGAUCUAGCGUUAUCGUUGGAUAUGACAAGAUCCUCGGUUCGAUUCCGAGAGUGGGCA